AACACGAUCUAUUGCUUGAUCCUCUAUGCUCGGAUUAUAAAAUGGUUCCUGUAGAAUAACGUGAUUUGCAAUCGUCAAAUUCAAACCCACGCUGCCGGCUUUCAAUGAAACCAGCAUGACUAAAACAUCUUUAUCGUUAUUAAAAGAAUGUAGGGACUUUUGCCUCUGGUUCGCAGACAUAGUACCAUCAUAACGAACAUGUCGUAUAUUUUCUAAUUUUAGCAUGUGCGAUACGAGGCAUAAAUACUGGGAGAACUGAGAAUAGACCAGAAU